rfam:Human gut metagenome DNA, contig sequence: In-E_001822.
UAACCACUGUACAAAGCAGUGCUGAACGCACAGAAGUCAGCAGAGGUCAUAGUAGCCGAAAGGUGAAGGAC